rnacentral:tRNA from 1 species
UCCUCGAUAGCUCAGCGGUAGAGCAUCCGGCUGUUAACCGGAGGGUCGUAGGUUCAAGCCCUACUCGAGGAGCCA